CCUGCAGUCUGAUCGCGGUUUAAAAUAAACUAAGCCAGUAUAUGGCUAAGAGAGAAUCAUCAUUAUCUAUCAUGUAUUAUAAUUAUUAUUCUGCCGUGAGAGUGUGACUCUGCUAACAAUAAUAGACUUGAUUUAGCAAUGAUGGUGGGGGACCCGGGUGGAGAACGAACCAUGAAAGAACAGACAGAUUGACGAGACAAAAUAUUUGAUUAAUCUGGCAUGACACAGAAAAUACAAAGACAGCACGCAUUUACCAUUUCACUGAUAUUGAAUCGUAUUAUCGAACGCUCGCUCACAAAGCCUCUUGCCUCACCACCACUCACAGUCAGCGAGUCAGCGACAUGGGUCUGGGAGGAGUCGAGUCUGAGAACGAACGAGAUAAACGAGGGAGAAGAAUCAGUUCCCUUCGUUCUUGUUAAAGAAGAACUGAUUCGGUCGCGAACGACCCAUCACUAACCUCAUCCUAACGCAGCCAUGAACACAACGCCAACACAGGUCCCUGACGUUUACUGUAGGGACAACAUUGAGGAGAAGUUGGUGAUUCACCUCUGCCUGAUCCCAGCUGUGGUGAUCAUCAUGGUGCUGUCCUUCUUCCAGACGAGGGAGCGCCGUUGGGCCAUGGACCUCCGGCUGCCCCGCAUGGCGGGGCACUUUGGCAUCGCGGUGCCUCUGGAGGCGAUGAACAGCCUGAGCAACCGCUGGUCCUACGGGUUUGCCUUUGGCGCCUCCUCCCGUGUGGUCUUCCUGCUGUUCUCCAAGCAACACAUCCUGUUUCCUGCUCCGCCCUGGGCAGAGUCCUUUGUGUUCCUUUUUGGAGCGUUCGAGGUGGGGCUAGUCUUCUUUCCCUUCUUCGCAUGCCUUUCUACAACUGCUAGGGGAGUUGGAGCUGUUUUGGGAAUACUCUACACUCUAGCCUGGCUCGGUGUCAUGCUCGCGCUUGUAAUCACCUGUCCACACAGUCAGUUUUUUAUUAGGUAUGGGAAUCUGAUAUGGUUAUUGCCGACCAUCCUAUCCUUCUUCUUUCUCCUGGGUCGCUUUUUCCUCAUAUUGGUCAAAACUGUGCAAGGACGCCGACAGAAUCAGGUUACAGGAGAGGUGAUUGAACACCAUGUCCAAUAUGUCAAGAGGUUGCUACGGAAACCGCCUCCUCCUGGCAGGGAAAGUUGGUUCCAAAGAAGGGUGUACAAGUGGGACCCACACUUCAGGUUCCCCAACAGACUGAUAGGAACCACCAUCAUCAGCCUCAUAGGCCUCUACACUCUGUUGCACCAUUCGUACGUGUUGAGCCAGGGGGUCUUUGAUUUGUUGGACGAGUUAAUUCGCUGGCUGGAUCAGUUAAAUGCAGCCUCAGCCUCAAUUAAGGAGUUUGCCAUCAUCGCACGCAAGUCAUGGAUGAUGGCUUCCAUCACAGCCUGCCUCAUCUCCCUGGUCUACAUCUUCCACGUUCUGGUGUGUUACAGGAAGCAUAUGAAGAGGCUGUGGAGGGGGCAGAGGGGCUUCCUCCCUGAGAAGUUCCGCAAGAAUAUCAACCCUGCUUCUAGUAUGGCUGCCAUUGCAAGAUACUCUGGGUGUCAAAUCGCUUACACGUUAUGGGGUUACAUCAUCUUUAACAUUGUGGCCUUCCUGGCUAUCCUGAUCUUUGCAUAUACAAUGAUCGUUCCCAUCCUGCAUGGCCAGAUCCUGAAGAGACUGACCACUUUGGGCUACUCAUUGCUGGGCUUGGCAGUACUCUUGGCCGUCGGUUGCCUGCAGGUAUACACUGUCAAGAUGUUCUUCCUGCAGGAUAAGCUGAGUACAACAGAGAAAGACAAACCUCUGGCCCUAAACAACAGGAGAGCGUUCAACUGCUUCAGCUACUUCUUCUUCUUCUACAACGUGGUGCUGGGGAUGGGCACCUGCGUCCUGCGCCUGCUGGUCAGCCUGACUGUAGGAUUGGUGCUGCUGCCUCGCAUUGACCGCACCAUCAUGCCCAAAGGACACGAGACCAAGGACCUGGCUGCUCUCUUCAUUGGUGAUCCCGCUGAGUCCAGUGAUUGUCCUUCUGGGGUCUUGAUGGGUCUUCAGGCUACACAUGGUGGGUGGGCAUGAUCUUUGCAGACCACUACCAUGGCAACCCGACGCUGGUGUGCUUCUGUAACCUGCUGUGGUCCAGAUCCCCGGAGCCAAAAGCAGCAGGCCCCUACCAGCCGUUCCGUAAUACAACCCUCGAGUCUGGUGUGCACAGCAGAGCCAGGAAGCGCUGGGCGCUGGCGUACACCCUACUGAGGAACCCCCCCCUCAUCCUGCUCAGGAAACACCUCGCUUCCCCCCCACCCUGCUCCACCUCAGGCCAGGCGGCCAACCAGCCGUCUGACCACUUCACAAGAACACCAAGAUUUGUAACAGCGGCUCGGACACAGACCGGCUCGACAGCCCCCUCUGGCGGGGGAACACCGCCAAAGCAGCUGAACACACAGGAUCAACGCAACGGACCAUCGUCAUCGGAAGUUUAGACCACCAAUCUUGGGAAGGUUUGACCACUAUCGUGUGGAGUCUAAACCAACCACCAUCGUAUUGAGUUUAGACCACCAUAGUGUAAAGGUUAUGCCUCGGUUCCACUGACCCGCUAGACUAAAGAGAGAAUCCAUUGUGGAGCUUUUGAGGCUGCCAUGAAAACAUCCUGAAGAGGUUGGUGGUCUUUCCAUCCUGUCUCAAACUCUGAUGCUAUUCAAACAUAUCGAUACAAUGUAAUACCAUAAGAAUGUAUCAUUUAAUACAUGAAACAAUUAAACAACCAAGGUUGGUUUAUAAAAUGUUUUUUUUAUCAUAGAUAUACUGUAUCAUCUUUUGGAAAGGUGAGGCAUCUUGCAUUUGAAUGCUGUUAGUGUUGAUGCUUUUGUUAUUAUUAUUAUUGUUGGUAAUCUAUGGGUAUGGGGAGGUUUUAGAGUUGUAUCCAAUAUAAAUCUGUCCUACAGAAUUUUGAUCAUUGUAAAAAUUCAUAUAUCGCCUAUUUGUUAGCUUGUAUUGUUUUUGCUUUUAUACUUUCAUGUUUUUACACAAACCAAAUAAUGUUUUUUGAUAUAAAUUAAACUUUUGACCCAA